GUCUUACAAACAUUAGACAAAUUUUCCGCAUGUCGUCAAUCACGGCCGCCUUUUUUUGGUUCGUCGUUUGGCUUCGUUUGUCUGCCUCGCCGCUCAGUUUUUCUCAAGAACAGUCCGUCUCCCCGCCCACGUUCGCCGACAGACGCACCUCACCUCCUCCGUGCUGCACCCGGCCGCACCUCCUCCAUCCGCCCUCCGCCACUUAGCCAAGCCGUGCCUCACCUCCUCUGUCCUCCGAGCGCGGAACCACGCCCGCGCUUUCCCCGCCCGGCCGCACCUCCUACCUGCUACGCUCGGCCGCAGCUCCUCUGUCCGCCGCCAAGACGGGCCACCUCCGUCCGCUGGGCGUCCAACACCGGCGCGCCACUGCCCAGCUGCCCCUCCACACCCCUCCACACCGGCGCCAUCCCCGGCUGCUCCUCCAUGAAGGGAUCUCCAAAUUAGUCCCAUAUGCAGCGGAGGUGAGAAGAUGGAGGCACGAGAGGUGGGGCCUAUCUCGAGCCCGGUGUCAUCUGCCUUCAUGAAGGGAUCUCCAGGUCCAAGUUCACAUCUCUUUUGCCCUCCCACUCAAAGCACAAUCAGCCAGCGCGACAGGGAUGGCGACACAGACACCGACGGCUGGAGCUCCCUCAAUGCUGCCAGAAUUUUUGAAAGUAGGAAACGUAAGCAAUGACAGUGACAGUCGCAGCAAUACUGAGCUCAAUAGGUGAACUAGACAAACCAUUCUGCUGUAGUUCAUUUUAUCACUGCAGUCAUCGUCAGACAAUGAGGUCAGAACCAGCAGGUUCGCAGAGUGACUUGUGACUUGUGGAUAAUCCUGCAGAUUCAACAAUGGUAAAGUAACGAAUGGUUAAGGUAUAAGUAGAUUUACUCAAUUAUACUCCAAUAGCUAAUGCAUUGCAUAUAUUGCUUGGCCGUGUAUAUAAAUAUUACAUCACUGUUCAACAUAAGUAAAUAGCUUAGUCCUUCUUAAGUCCAUUUUGGUAAAAGCUAUAGUUCAAUUAGUUUUCUUGAUUUUCUUAAAAUUUUACUCAAAGUUUGUGCCUUAUGUUGUACAUUUGCCUCACGGGCUGGCUAACUGACCUACAUGAGGCUGGCCAACUGAUCUGGAGGUUCACUAUCUAUGUUCUUUCAUUUCAUUGUCAAACAUAGAUAUUCUAAAUCUGAAAGUCUGUCGAAAUUUCCUAUGGAGUCUUGUGGUACCUUUAGUGUUUCUUAUCAUGUCCAGUAGAAGGUCUUGGAAAACAUAUUUGCAAUACAUGAUAUUUUUUAAAUCAAAAGUAGUAAUAUGCUGUGUAAUUGCCUUCUUGCCUCCUGACAUGUGGCAAAUUCAUUGAGCGUUUUCACUUACAUCGCUGGCAUAUUCAGUGAACAACGCAAAGAUGAUGGUUUUGAGUGAGAGGUCCUUUGGUCAAGGUAAUUUCAGAGCAUUGAUUUUCAAUGUACUUGUAAACCCAAGAGAAAGUUGAGCAGGCCACAUUCAGUUGUUAACUGGACUGUUGGCUUGCUGCUAUGGCAACAUGUUUUCAGCCUUAUUAUUACUUGCCGAGUUUACAUUGGGAUCUGAAAACUGGACUGUGUGCCAUUAGUUUUGUCUGUCUCCAGGACAUUGCCCAUGCACAUGAACUGACUGAUUACCAUGAAAAUUCACCUGUUUCAGUUCCAAACUAAUUAUUGCUUCAAGGUCACAAAGCUAUAUGAAAAUCUGUAUCCAAUUGAAUGCCGGAACUCUCUAGGAUGAUGUCAGGCAUUCCCAUUUAUAGGUUAACCUGAAGUGAUUCUUGAAGAUUAGUUUCUGCGUGGUUGAUUUGAAUUGUUUGUAAUAUUGUAUGCUUCAUCUUGAUUACUAUCAAUUUCACAGGUCAUGUUCAUUGUGAGGAAUGGAGCGCAAUAAUGCUUUGUGGUAACUCUGGGCAGACGAAAAUAGGCCACCUCUACCAUUUUCUUGAUAUUUAUUUUCUGAUAUCUGACUAUUGUAUUUGUCGUGAAAUUUAAAUUGUAGACGCUAUCAGAUCAUGUGUCACUUCAUGCUUUGAUCAUGUGAAAAAAUUCAGUGUAUUUACCCAUGAUCGGUGCCUUGCCCCGAGGGGUCUUUAAUUCCUGGAGGGGUCUUUAAUUCCUGAAUUAGGCAACGGUGAAUUUUCUUCUUAAUAUAUAGAUGCGCAGCUCUCCCGCAUGUUCGAGAAAAAUGAGGCAACAGUGACACAGCGCUGGUAGAAAGUAGAAAGUGAAGAAGCGGUUUGAGCAUAUUGCUACUGACAGCUACCUCCGCAAGAUUUGGCCGGUACUGCAAGCUCUGAGUUUCACAACUCUGAACCACUUGCACUGGGACUCUCUGGACUAUCCGGUGGAAUCAGGCCUUGGCAGGACUGAGGCAGAUGUGGGGGGUGACACCGUGCAGGUGAGGUGGUGGUGGUAUCUGGCUCUGGCAUCUCCCUUUAUCCGCUUGAUGGAAUGGCAGCAUGGGUAUGGAGACACCUUCAGCAUCUAAACAAAGCCCAAAAGGCAACAGGCAUUGAUCGCUAAUCAGCAUGGCCUCCACAAGUACCCAUCAUGGGAAGUGCAGCAACCAGUAUUGUGUUCAAACCUGAAGAAAAUAUAUGGGGAUGGCUGGGUGGCUGCACAGCUCAUGGCAGGGACCAAUUUGGAGUCUGCAUCUUCUUUCCCAUAUAUAUAUGAUAUUUCCAUAUACUGUCAGGAUGCUAUUAAACUGCCUUCACCAGAUUACAAUAAACUGUGAACUUCAGAACUUUAAUUUUCGAUAAGUUGGAGUCGACGCUUAAAACUUCAGAGCUUUAUUUACUCCUAUGUACCAACAGCUCUAAAUUUUUGUGCACUGCACCCUUAGUUUUUUAGUGAACAAUACUGAUUGCUGAGGUUAUAAUGCAUCUUUCUAUGUGGGACUAUAGUUUUGUCAAGUAAGGCUAUGUACACAUUGAUAAAUCUGCUUCAGAAUAAUAUUGCUAAUAUCUCACUAUCUGAAGAAAGUCAGGUUUAUCAGUUAUUUAUAGAAGACUUGCUUGUUAGAAAGGACCUAAAUAGGUUUUCUUUGUCUAUGUGAAUUUUCGGGGAAUUCUGCUUAUCUUCCACGGAUAGAUGCUACUUCUCCUGUAAUAUUGAAUUGGGUCAUGUGUGUGUCAGCUCUUUGCUUGCCAAAGGAGCUUGUGACUUGCAACUACUACUACUUAUUCAAUGAUCUCUAAUAAUUGAAUCAUUUUGUUCAGAUUCUAAUUAUCAGGUCUUUUCCUCAUCUCUUUAUGUUUUGAGGUGUUGGAUGAGAAAGGGUUAAUGGUGGUUGCUACCAUUCUACAAGAAAUUAGAGAUUGUCAUUAUGAGUGCUGUAGUUGAAGUGGGGUUAAUGUUAAACCAUGAUGGUACCAAGGAGACUUCAUCCAUUUGAAUAUUCUACACUCAAGAAACAGAAAGAUUAGAAGUAAUGUAAGAUGUCAGAUUAAUGGACGAUGAGGAGCAUAAGUUUUAGGCUUCGAGGACACAGUGCCCCUCCAAUUGCAUACUGAUACUGCUAAAACGAAAGGGGACUGAGGUGACUGGGAUAUCAUCAGUAUCAGAUAUACUAGCAGCUAUGUUCAUGAGCUUCUAUGUGGUGAAACAAGCUGGAGAUGACUAAGCUUGCAUUUUCCACAGAAGCAGCAGCUCUUGAACCCACUGUCCAGCAUCUCCCUCUCCACCCACCAACACUGUGUUUCCCUGUCUACUGCGCGUGUGUUUUGGAGCUCCCGGCGUAGCCAUGGCUGAGGUACUGGCCACCAUGGUGGUCGGGCCACUGGUGUCCAUGGUGAAGGAGAAGGCCUCCAGCUACCUCCUGGACCAGUACCAGGUGAUGGAGGGCAUGGAGGAGCAGCACAAGCUCCUGAAGCGCAAGCUGCCGGCCAUCCUCGAUGUCAUCGCCGAUGCCGAGCAGCAGGCGGCGAAACACAGAGAAGGGGCCAAAGCUUGGCUGGAGGAGGUCCGGACGGUGGCCUACAAGGCGAAUGAUGUCCUCGACGAGUUCAAGUACGAGGCGCUUCGCCGCAAAGCCAAGGUGGAGGGCCACUACAAGGCGCUCGGCAUGGAUGUAAUAAAGCUCUUCCCUUCUCACAACCGUGUUGUGUUCCGUUAUAAGAUGGCAAAAAGGCUCUGCAUGAUCUUGCAAGAAAUUGAUGUCCUCAUCGCAGAGAUGAAUGCGUUCAGGUUCAAAUUCAAACCGCAGCCGCAAAUGCCCAUGCAAUGGAGGCAGACGGAUGCUUGCAUCCCCACUGAGUCUGUGGAGAUUGCCAGCAAAUCAAGAGCUCAAGAGACGAAGGUUCUUGUUGAUCGAUUGCUUGCUGGAGCCAGCAGUAAGGAUCUCAUGGUCCUUCCGAUAGUCGGAAUGGGGGGGUUGGGCAAGACCACCUUAGCACAGCUCGUUUACAAUGACCCUGAAAUUCAGAAGCAUUUCGAGUUGCGGCUCUGGGUGUGUGUCUCUGAGGAUUUUGAUGUGGAUUCCCUGGCUAACAGAAUAGUGAAAGAGAAUGGUUGUAAAGCAAGUGAAAGUUCAUCAGCACUGGACAAUCUUCAAAAGGCAGUGAGUGGGAAGAGGUACCUCCUCGUAUUGGAUGAUGUGUGGAACCGUGAUGAGCCCAGCAAGUGGGAAAGGCUCAAGUCCUACCUUCAGCAUGGUGGCAGCGGUAGCUCAGUGCUGACAACAACUCGCGAUGAAGCUGUUGCUAAACUAAUGAUGGGUACAACUGAAAGAGCCUAUAAACUUGGAAGCUUGGAUGAAGAGUCCAUAGGGAAAAUUAUCAAGGCAAGAGCAUUCGGUUCAAAACAAGAAAAGGAAUGGCCUGGUGAGCUAGUUCACAUGGUUGGUGAAGUUGCCAAGAGAUGUGCUGGUUCUCCUUUAGCUGCUACAGCAUUGGGCUCUUUACUGAGUACCAAGACCAGCAAGCAAGAAUGGAAGGAUGUACUAAAUGGAAGCACGAUUUGUGAUGAGGAAAAUGGGAUUUUACCAGUACUUAAACUAAGUUACAAUUGCUUGCCAUCAUACAUGCGGCAAUGCUUUGCUUUCUGUGCUAUGUUUCCCAAGGAUUAUGAGAUUGACGUGCAAAUGCUAAUCCACUUGUGGAUGACCAAUGGUUUUAUCCCAGAGCAAUCAAAAGUGUGUCCUGAAACUUUUGGAAAAGGAAUUUUCAUUGAGCUGAAGUCAAGGUCAUUUUUUCAGGAUUUGAAGAAUGUCCCAUUUUACGAAAAUGGAUAUUCUAUUCAUGGAGAGGGUGAUGAGCACAGGUAUUGUUCUAGAAUUACUUGUAAGAUCCAUGACCUUAUGCAUGAUGUUGCACAGUCUGCUAUGGGAGAAGAAUGUGCUGCAAUAGCUACACACCCAAGUGAAAGAGAGGAUGUUCUUCGUUCAGCUCGUCACUUGUAUUUGUCAAUCCGUCGAUCAGAAACUCUUCUGAGUGCUUCCCAAGAGAAAGGAUCUCCAGCUUUCCAAACACUGAUUUGUGACGGAUAUGUAGGAGAUUUGAAGAUUUUAUCAAAAUACAAUUCUAUAAGAGCUUUAAAGAUCCGUUGUGGUUCAAUCCUAAGGCCGAAAUAUCUUCAUCACCUGAGGUAUCUUGAUCUCUCGAGAAGUGAUAUUGAAGCACUUCCUGAAGACAUUAGCAUCCUAUAUCAUCUGCAAACACUGAACCUUUCUUACUGUGACUGGCUUGAACGGCUUCCAAAGCAACUGAAGUAUUUGACUGGCCUCCGUCACCUCUACACUCACGGAUGUGAAAAGUUGAAAAGCAUGCCUGCAGAGCUCGGACGCCUGACUUCCCUACAGGCGCUUACAUACUUUGUAGCAGGUACCGAUGACUCCGGUUGCAGUAAUUUGGGAGAGCUGCAGAAUUUGGACCUUGGUGGUACACUGGAGCUAGGAAAUCUAAAAAAUGUGACAGGAGCAGAUGCACAAGCAGCAGGUCUUGGAAACAAGAAAAAACUGACCCAACUGGAGUUAUGUUGGACUGAUAGUGACCAGGAAGCACAGAAUAAUAAUCAUAAAGAGGUGGUGGAAGGUCUCAAACCUCAUGAUGGGUUAAAGGCUCUGAGGAUAAAUCACUACGGGAGCACAACUUUUCCAACGUGGAUGAAUACUUUGAAAGGCAUGGUGGAGCUCACAUUAUUCCGUUGCAAAAAGCUCGAAGAGCUUCCUGCACUCUGGGAGCUAUCAGCUCUGCAAAUUCUUCACCUGAAGGGUUUGGAGAGUUUACAUUGUUUGUGCAGCGGUGGUACUACACCCAUCACAUUUCCAAAACUGAAUGUACUUAUCUUGUUAGAAAUGGCAAAAUUUGAGGCAUGGCGGGAGGCACAUGAGGUACAAGGAGAAGAGCCGAUAUUUCCCAAGGUUGAGGAGCUGGUGAUUAAGGAGUGUACAAGUUUGACUGCAUUACCAAAAGCAGCGUCGGUGAUUACAGAAUUGUCUGGCAGAGUUGACACUAAGUGCCGCUCUGCAUUUCCAGCAUUGAGGAAAAUGAAGCUAUAUAAGUUGACUGUGUUUGAAAGAUGGGAGGCAGGCGAAGGAAUUUCAGGCGAAGAGGUAACCUUUCCUCAGCUUGAGGAGCUGUCAAUCGAGUAUUGUGGCAGCCUGAGUGCACUACCAAAAGGGCCAUUUGGCGGAGCUGAAACUGUGUGUUGCUGCUCCGCAUUUCCAGCACUGAGGAAACUAGAGUUAUCUGGUUUGUUGGCCCUUGAGAGGUGGGGGGCAGCCGAAGGAACUCCAGGAGAAGAGGUAACAUUUCCUCUGCUGGAGAACUUGAGUAUCCAUGAUUGCCCGAGGUUGACUGAUCUACCUGAAGCACCGAAGCUAAGUGAAUUAUCCAUAAGUAAAGGACAUGGUCAACAACAAAUAUCCCUAGAGGCAGCUAGCAGAUGCAUCCCUUCAUUGUCCCGUCUGACUCUGACCGUGUCACCCGAUGACACAGAAACAACAUUGCUGCAUGUCAAGAAUAAAUUGAAUGGUACACUCGCCUUGGCAGCUAUGCGGUUAGGUCGGUGCGACAUUUUUUUCUCCUCCAGCUCAAGCGCACUGGCGCUAUGGACAUGUUUUGCACAGUUAGUAGAUUUGGAUAUUUGGGAUUGCGAUGCUCUUGUCUACUGGCCAGAAAACGUGUUCCAGGUCCUGGUAUGCCUGAGGAAGUUAGCGAUUUCCAGAUGCAGCAAACUGACAGGACGCACACAAGCUUCUGAUGAGCAAUCUGCUCCAGCUCCAGAACGUGGUGGACUCCUGCCAUGCCUGGAGUCUCUAGGGAUAGUAGAUUGUGAAUCUUUGGUAGAGGUCCCCAUCCCGGCAUCUCUCAAGAAAUUACGUAUUUGGGGCUGCAGUAGUAAUGUCGGGUCCAUCGUAUUUGGUCACCCGGAGGAUACGAGAUUGGUGAGUGGAGAAGGUGUUGUACGGCCGAAUACGUCAUCAUUAAUUCCAGGGUCCAGCAGCAGUGAGGCCACAGCGUCUACAGCUGUACUGAAGCUGUCAUCUGCAGCCAACCAUCGCUUCCUUCCAUUUCAAUGCCUAGAAUUUCUAGGUAUAGCGUGUUGCAGUGGCUUGUCAGAGGUUGCCAAUCUUCCUCCGUCUAUCAAGACCUUGCGCAUUUGUGGCUGCGGCAAGUUUCAAUCCCUAUCAGGAGACCUCCGGUUGCUGGAAGAACUCAAGCUUUAUCAUUGCGAAAGACUGGUAUCCUUACCGGAUGGGCCUCAAGCAUACUCAUCUCUUAGAGUUCUUCGGAUUGAAAAUUGUGAUGGUAUAAAGUUGCUUCCGCCAAGCCUACAGAGCCGUUUGGGCUACCUCGAGGAGAAAGAUCUAGAUGCCCGUUACGAAGAAUUGCCAGAACCAACCUGGAAACGUUCAAUCAGGAAGCUGGUGUGCUCGAAAUAGUAGAUCAAGGCCUGACCAAAGAAAAUUAUCUCCAAGGUAUUUUUGCAAAGAUAUCACCAAGGAUGGUGCCAGACCUGCAAAAGAUGGAUUAUUGUGACUCUUGUUUAGAAUGUAUCAUAUGGGCAUUCUGAAGAUAUUCUCCAGUAAAGUCAAGGCAAAGUUCUAGAUUUUGAGCAGAAAACAAGUCCUAGAUUGCAAGCUGAAGAAUUUAGCACACAGAGCUGCGUGCUCCAGUCUUUUAUCCUUCUUCAAACCGAAGACCUUUAUUUUGAGCAGAAACGAAGUCCCAGACUGCAAGCAGAAGAAUUUAGCAUACAGAGCUGCGGGCUCCAGUCUUUUAUCCUUUUUUUUUUCUUUUGAGCCAUGACUUGUUUGCAUUCGUGUCUGCUUCAGCCUCCAGCACAAGCGAAACACAGGCAGCACUUUCAUUUUAUGAUUUGUCUAUCCACAUACAUGACCGACUGCCAUAGAGUAGACCAACAGUCCAACGUACUCAUGUUGUUGCUCGACAAGCUGUCCAAGCUGCUGCUUGAUAUGAACUGAAAGUGCUGAACUUUGUCCAUGUUAUGUUGGUAGUAUAUCUAAUACUGAACUUCAGAGUAGAACAACAGUCCAACGUGCUCAUGUUGUUGCUCGACAAGCAGUCCAAGCUGCUGCUUGAUAUGAACUGAAAGUGCUGAAUUUUCUCCCGUGUAUGUUCUGUGUUACUGUGUAUCAAAUACUGAAUGGUGUGCAGGGUGAUCCUGCAUCCUGGAAUGGCACGGUCUUGUGCAGAGGUCUCAUUGUUGUUGACCUGUUUCUUCAAAACUGCAUGUGCAGCAACAUUUUCUCCUGGCAGUGCUGCAAUGGAAUUGAAAAGAAUGGUGAUUGUUA